rnacentral:rRNA from 1 species
UGGGGAAUAUUGCACAAUGGGCGCAAGCCUGAUGCAGCCAUGCCGCGGGUAUGAAGAAGGCCUUCGGGUUGUAAAGCACUUUCAGCGGGGAGGAAGGCGUUAAGGUUAAUAACCUUGGCGAUUGACGUUACCCGCAGAAGAAGCACCGGCUAACGCCGUGCCAGCAGCCGCGGUAAUACGGAGGGUGCAAGCGUUAAUCGGAAUUACUGGGCGUAAAGCGCACGCAGGCGGUCUGUCAAGUCGGAUGUGAAAUCCCCGGGCUCAACCUGGGAACUGCAUUCGAAACUGGCAGGCUAGAGUCUUGUAGAGGGGGGUAGAAUUCCAGGUGUAGCGGUGAAAUGCGUAGAGAUCUGGAGGAAUACCGGUGGCGAAGGCGGCCCCCUGGACAAAGACUGACGCUCAGGUGCGAAAGCGUGGGGAGCAAACAGG